rnacentral:rRNA from 1 species
GAUGAACGCUGGCGGCGUGCCUAAAACAUGCAAGUCGAGCGGUAAGGCCUCUUCGGAGGUACACGAGCGGCGGACGGGUGAGUAACACGUGGGAAUCUACCCCAAACUGAGGGAUAAGCACCGGAAACGGUGUCUAAUACCGCAUAUGGUCUUCGGAUUAAAGCUUCGGCGGUUUGGGAAGAGCCCGCGUAAGAUUAGCUAGUUGGUGAGGUAAAGGCUUACCAAGGCGACGAUCUUUAGCUGGUUUGAGAGGAUGAUCAGCCACACUGGAACUGAGACACGGUCCAGACUCCUACGGGAGGCAGCAGUUAGGAAUUUUCCACAAUGGGCGCAAGCUUGAUGGAGCAACGCCGCGUGCAGGAUGAAGGCCUUCGGGUUGUAAACUGCUUUUAUACGUGACGAAUAUGACGGUAGCGUAUGAAUAAGGAUCGGCUAACUCCGUGCCAGCAGCCGCAGUAA